CUGGCUCAGAACGAACGCUGGCGGCAGGCCUAAUACAUGCAAGUCGAGCGCAUCCUUCGGGAUGAGCGGCGGACGGGUGAGUAACGCGUGGGAAUAUGCCCUUCUCUAAGGAAUAGCCUCUGGAAACGGAGAGUAAUACCUUAUACGCCCUUCGGGGGAAAGAUUUAUCGGAGAAGGAUUAGCCCGCGUUAGAUUAGGUAGUUGGUGGGGUAAUGGCCUACCAAGCCUACGAUCUAUAGCUGGUUUGAGAGGAUGAUCAGCCACACUGGGACUGAGACACGGCCCAGACUCCUACGGGAGGCAGCAGUAGGGAAUCUUAGACAAUGGGGGAAACCCUGAUCUAGCCAUGCCGCGUGUGUGAUGAAGGCCUUAGGGUCGUAAAGCACUUUCGCCAGAGAUGAUAAUGACAGUAUCUGGUAAAGAAACCCCGGCUAACUCCGUGCCAGCAGCCGCGGUAAUACGGAGGGGGUUAGCGUUGUUCGGAAUUACUGGGCGUAAAGCGCACGUAGGCGGAUUAGUAAGUUAGAGGUGAAAUCCCAGGGCUCAACCCUGGAACUGCCUUUAAUACUGCUAGUCUUGAGUUCGAGAGAGGUAAGUGGAAUUCCAAGUGUAGAGGUGAAAUUCGUAGAUAUUUGGAGGAACACCAGUGGCGAAGGCGGCUUACUGGCUCGAUACUGACGCUGAGGUGCGAAAGUGUGGGGAGCAAACAGGAUUAGAUACCCUGGUAGUCCACACCGUAAACGAUGAAUGCCAGACGUCAGCAAGUAUACUU
rnacentral:rRNA from 1 species